rnacentral:rRNA from 1 species
AUAUUGCGCAAUGGCCGAAAGGCUGACGCAGCGACGCCGCGUGUGGGAGGAAGCCCUUCGGGGUGUAAACCACUGUCGGGGGGGACGAAAUCCGAGCGGGCAAAUAGCCCGAGCGGUUGACGGUACCCCCAAAGGAAGCACCGGCUAACUCCGUGCCAGCAGCCGCGGUAAGACGGAGGGUGCAAGCGUUGUUCGGAAUUACUGGGCGUAAAGCGCGGGCAGGUGGUCCUUUAAGUCCUUUGUGAAAUCCCGGGGCUCAACUCCGGAUGUGCAGAGGAUACUGGAGGACUGGAGACUGGUAGAGGCGAGCGGAAUUCCUGGUGUAGCGGUGGAAUGCGUAGAUAUCAGGAAGAACACCGGUGGCGAAGGCGGCUCGCUGGGCCAGUUCUGACACUCAUCCGCGAAAGCGUGGGGAGCAAACAGG